rnacentral:rRNA from 1 species
AAGGUAGCAAAAUCAUUUGCCUUUUAAUUGGGGGCGGGUAUGAAUGGUUAAAUGUCCAAGUUUAUUUUGUGAUUUUAUGGUGAAUUUACAUUUUUUGUAAGAAUGCAAAAAUGGUUUAAAGGGACGACAAGACCCUAAAAUCUUUAUUGUUAGGUUAUGUAGCUAGGUUUUUGUUUAAUACGUCUAAUUAUUUGACGAUUUGGCUGGGGCAGUGGUUUUUUAUUAAUAAAUAUGCUAUUUUACUAUUAGGGUAUUAGGUCUUUUAUAUAAGGAUAAUUAGAGAUAGUUACCUUAGGGGUAACAGCGUAAUCUUCCUGGAGAGGUCUUAUCUAUAGGAAGGGUUGCGACCUCGAUGUUGAAUUAAAAUUUCCAGGCGAAGCAGCAGGUGCCGUAGGAGGGUUUGUUCAACCUUUAAUUUUUUACAUGAUCUGAGUUCAAACCGG